rnacentral:lncRNA from 1 species
GGAUUAUUGUAUGUAGAGUGAUGCUAUCCAUUACAUAGGAUGGUGCUGAGAUGGCAGUCAUUUGUACAUUUAAGUAAUAUUUCUAUUUUAUGUUUUACAUAAAAUGAAAAAAAUCAAGUCACAAAACUGUAUGCUGUGAUCUCUUUUGUAAAGUGAGAGUGUGUGCAUAAUAUAAGCAGAAUAUUAAUGCUGACUUUGCGGGGGUGAAGUUAUAGGUAAUUUUUUUUAUUUUAUGCUUAUUUUUAUUUUCUAAUUCUUAAAUUCCAGCAUACACCAAAAAGAGUUGGGGGAAAAGGUAAUUAUAACAAAUCCAGAAAACAGACAUGAACAAACUUUCAAAGCAGAAAUAGGAGGACCAUCCUGAAGAUUUCUCUAUGAAAGACGAAGCUCCAAAAUUGGUGAUCUUGUCUCAACUCUGGCUCCUGAGGAGCAGCAUUAACAGCAGGGCAGCAAUGAGUGUGCAGAGGGUGCAGACUGUGGGGACCACAAUCUCCGAGACCAUGUGCAUGUGACUGAGCAAAGGCUCUGAAAUGGGACAGAGAACAACCACCAGGUGAGCUGCGUCCCAGAAGCUUUAAGUAUAUUGGAAAAACUUGAGAAAUGACAUCAAGUUUUCUAAUUCUCAUUUUGUAGAAAAGGGAACCUAGUAAACUAAAUGGUAUUUAAAAAUUAGGAGUUUGGGGAUGUGGCUCAGUGGUAGUGUACUUGAGGUAGCAUGCAUAAGCCCUGGGUUCAAUCCCCAGCACCACACGCACACACACAAGUUAUGUGAGAGUUUAUAAAAUAUUUCAAAGAAUAUGGGAAUGCCUAAAUUUGGAUUUUUCUACAGGUAGUAUAAUAAAGGCUAAGUGUAUUGUUACUUAAUGCUUACCAUGUAUCUCUCUCAAGAUUAUUAACAGCCAUGUUUUAUAGUUCCCAUAAUUUUUCACUGGAGAGACUUAUGAAAGAAAAAUCGAGGGAAACAUUUCCAAACUUUCAAGCAUGUUAUUAUGUAUCUUAUGGGAAUUCCCAUGUUAAAAUAUCAUAUGGUGAUUCUUGCAUAGUUUGAUCUUUAAGAAUUAAAUGAUGAGCCUGUUUCUUGUACAUUGAUAUAGUAGUGGAUAUUUCUGUAAUACCCUUUUUUAAUUUUUCUGUUGGGCAUUCUGAUUACUGAGAUAAAUAAAGCACAGACUCUGUUCUUAUAGAGUUCAUAAGCUUUUAAGCAAAUUCUGUGUUACAAAUACAUUGUUUAUUUCAGUUUAAUGGAAUAUACAUCCUUAGUAUUGUCUCUGUUAUUUAGAUAUGGGAAGGUUGGUACAUAGUGAUAUACUGGCUCUUAAAAAUGUUGGCUUAGAAGAGUUUGCUUUAGUACUUUCUACUUUGAACACCACAUUAAAGAUAAGUUUAUUGCUGGGCACAGAGGCACAUGCCUGUAAUCCAGCAAUGUGGGAGACUGAGGCAGGAGUAUCACAAGUUCAAGGCCAACCUGGGCAACUUAGUAAGACCCUGUCUUAAAAUAAAAAGGGCUGGGGAAUGUAGCUCAGUGGUAAAGCAUUGCUAGGUUCAGUCCUCAGUAUGGGGAGGAAAAAUGAGUCUAGUAAAACAGAAAGUAUAUUUCUCUGAGUGUCCCUAUGGAGAGAAAAAAAAUUCAAAGAGGUGAAAUGUGUUGCCAUUUCUUGAUACACAUUUGCAUCUUGGUUAUUCUAUAGCUUGGAUCCUUUUAGAUCCCAUUUCAUAAGAAAUGAUGCCUUCUGUGAGGGUAGGGACCUAGUUUUAUUCAUUGCUAUAUCCCCAGGGCUUAAAAUAACUCAUAGUUAAUAGUGAAUGAUUAAUAAUUAUUUGCUGAAUGAAUGAGUACAAGAGCUAAAGUAUUUUUG